rnacentral:rRNA from 1 species
GAACAAAUACAGAAUGAAUUCAUAUCUCUUUUGGCUUCUGACAGCACAUGUUGUAUCCCAAAAGUUGUUAACGAGGCCAAGUAUUUCUCUGUUAUCCUAGAUUGUACCCUUGAUGUUAGUCAUCAAGAACAAAUGACUUUUUUAGUUCAAUGUGUUAAUCUGUCUGAUGGCAAAAUAAAAAUUGAGGAGUACUUUCUGGGGUUCUUGAAAGUGGAUGACACUGGCUUAGGGAUUUUUAAAGUACUGCUUGAAUCUAUUUAGUCUUUUGGCUUAAAUAUUAAAGAUAUAGGGGGACAAGGAUAUGACGACGGUUCUAAUAUGGAAGGAAAAUACCGAGGGGGUAUAAUCUAG